GAUGAAGAACGUAGCGAAACGCGAUAUGUAAUGUGAAUUGCAGAAUUCAGUGAAUCAUCGAAUCUUUGAACGCACAUGGCGCCUUCCAGUAUCCUGGGAGGCAUGCCUGUCCGAGCGUCGUUUCAACCCUCGAGCCCCCGUGGCCCGGCGUUGGGGAUCUGCCACGGCAGGCCCCUAAAACCAGUGGCGGACCCGAAGGCCCUCUCCUUUGCGCAGUAGCAUCAGCCUCGCAUUGGGAUCCCUCGGCGUCCUGCCUCUAAACCCCCCGCAAGUCCGCUCCGGCGGCACCAAGGUUGACCUCGGAUCAGGUAGGAAUACCCGCUGAACUUAAGCAUAUCAAUAAGCGGAGGA
rnacentral:misc_RNA from 1 species